ensembl:lncRNA
GAUGAUCCUCCCUGAGAAGGUGAAAUGAGAGAAAGACUUAAAGGAGGUGAGGGAGUUUGCUAAGUGGAUAUCCAAGAAGAAUAUCCCAGGUAGAGGGAACAGAAAGAGCAAAGGCUUUCAGGUGUAAGUGAUAAUGGGGAGAUGGAAGGUAAAGGGCCUUGGUGAGGAUUCUGGGAAAUGUUGGAGGGAUGUGAGUAGAGGAAAGCCAUGAUCUGGCUUUUUCCUAGGAAACCCUCAUCCCAGCUGCUGUGUUGAGAGCAGACCUCAGAGGAGCAAGUGAGAAGCCCUCUCAGCAGGUCAUUGCAACAAACCAGCUAUCCAGUUCAUAGUCGUGAGUGCCUCUGGUUGUGCUGUGUGGGAUGCCACCUCAGCACGGCUUGAUGAGUGGUGCCAUGUUGCACCCAGGAUCCGAACUGGCGAAACCCUGGGCCGCUGAAACGGAGUGCGUGAACUUAACCACUCGUCCAGGGGGCCGGCCCCAGAGAUACCUGUGAAGUUUCACUUGUUCAAGGGACCUGAAGAGUAGAUGGAUGCACACUGGGAACACACACUUGAUACAUGAGAAACCAGGGACUGACUGCCAACUCUUGGAAGAGAUGUUGGAAUAACCUGUGGAUGAAGCAUGCAUUGCUUGCUGUGGUUGGGGAGAUCACGACAUUGCCAGUUCUAGUAACAUCACAGAGAGGGAAGCAGUGUGUCAAAGCAGCGCAGCCCUGUCUUCAAACUGGAAGGAAGCCCAAUGUACAAAAUCCACACACCUGGGCUCUUUGGCUCAAGUAAGAGCAGCAGGAGCCCCUCACGUCCCAGAGCCGCUCAAGAAGCCCCCAGGAGCACGGUGCGAAGACCCCUCCUUUGGGCCAAGGUCUAGGGGCUUAAGGUCAUGUUAGCAUUUUUGUGCCUAGUGGUGGAGGGAAGAUUCAAGGGUGAUGAUAAAGCAUGGAGAUCUUCUGGAAGACUGGUUAGGGCCUGAGUUAGAGAAAUGAAGCUUGGGGUGAAAAGGAGAUGAAUGAACUGAGGAGUAUUUCAGGUUGAAAAUCAGUGAUAUUUGUUGAUUGAAUGCUGUGCGUGAGGGAGUAGGGUGGCUUGUGGGAACCAUGACAGGAGCUAACAUUUAUUGAGAUGGCACAUAUGCUCUACACUUUACAUUAUCACAGUGACUCCAGGAGGUGUGUACUCUUUCACCCCCAUUUUAAAGAUGAGAAAACUGAGCCGUGGAGUUCCGUAAAUAGUUGAGCUGGAUUCCAACCCAGGCAGUCACGCUCCAGCGCCUGCACUCAACUAUCUCUCGUAAUGUUGGUGACUGACCCUCGGAUAGAUAGUGGUCAGUGGUCAGCAGCAUUUGAAAGUCCAGAAGUGUCAUUGCUCUGCUGCUAAUCUGCUUGUGGCUUUGGACAAAGCAGUAACCUUGUAGUUUCUCAUCUAUAAAAUGGGGACAAUAAUCACCUAUGCUACUGAACUCAUGUGGUUUGAGAAGUUAUAAAGGACUUUUAUUAUUGCCCAAAUUCAAAGUCUAUCCUGCAGAUAAAUUCUACAUUUUUCAUAUAUUACUGCAAUAAAUUCAGGAAGCUAUCUGAAAAUUUCAGUUCAUUUGAAAUAUUUUAAGGUACCUUCCCCUAGCUUUUUAACUGGCUUGCUGAAAUUGUGUUAUCCAAGUAAUGACAUCUGAUUAAGCAAGCUUGACAUAUUGAGAGAUGAUUAUGGGGAACAAUUAUCAAUGUUAAUUACCUUUGCUAUAGGAUACAACAUAAAGCCCAGAUUCAUUCAUUAGUUUUCAUUAUUUAUCUGUUUGUUUGCUAUUCAUUUAUUUAACAAAUAUUCCUUGAGCGUCUACGAGGUGCCAAGCAUCAUAGUAAGUGCUAGUGAUGCCCUGGUGAUGAGAGUGGCCGAUGGCUGCCCUAUGGCCCUCCAUCAAGAAGAGAAUACAAGCACCUUCAAUCACCUCCUGUCUGCUCUUCGACUCCCAGCUCACUGGCUUUGGUUAAGCCUCUCAGGUUGUGCUCAGGGCCAUCACAGGGCUUUCGGGCCUGCUGUUCCCUCUGCCGUGAAUGCUAUCUUGGGCCCUGUGUCCGGGGCCCCCAAGACCACCCUUGGGGACUUGCUAGAAGAAGUCACAGAACUCACAAAAGCUGUUCUGCCCAUGAUUAUUGUUUAUGGCAGUGGAAAGAAACAGACUAAAAUCAGAAAAGGGGAAAGGUUCACAGGGCAGAGUCCAGGAGAAAGCAGGCACAGGUUUCCAGGGGUCCUUCCCGGUGGAGUUGUGUGAACGCUCUUCAUCCUCCCAGCAGCAAUGUGUGAAACAUGAGGGAAGUGAUGCCAACCAGGGAAAUUCAGCCCAGCGAGUGUCGAGGGUUCUGAAUUGAGGGUCGGUAUGUAGGCUUGCAGCACCUGUGUGGCCAACCUCAGCUACUCAGACUCCAGCCUCCUAGAGCGAAAACUUGGUGUUCACCAUAAAUCUCACUGUUAGCAUAAACUAUCUGACCAGACUGGUCCCAUGUGGCCCAAGGCCUCAGGCAUACAGAAACACUGUUGUAAGGCAGAAUAUUCCAAGGGCGCAGAGCUCAUCUUCCAGGGCCAGUUCUGAAGAUAGGACUUUCUUGAGAAUGAGCAGGGUUUGAACAACCCAGGUCUGCUGACUUAACCCUUUCCUGCCCAGACC